GAUGUUUGUAAUAAGGAUUGGUUUGAUGUAAAUGUGUCUUAUGAACCAAGAUGGAUCAUAUAUUUUGCAGGAUCAGGUGUGGUGAUUGUGCAAAUCUUAUUUGCCUUGAAAUUCUACAAAACGUUUCAUACCAACAAUGAAGAAAAUACAAGACUCCAACAAGUGGAAGUGAUUUCAGAACGAACUCCAUUAAUAUCUAGGAAAGACAGUGAUCUUUCAAGUUGGAGUUCAUCUUAUGAUUCUUUCUCUAGUGAAAGUUCUGAUGAAGAAGGAAAAUCAAUAAUUGAAGGGGAAACUAGUAGUAAUCUUCACUGCUUGUGUGUUAUCUGUGUUGAUGUCACAAGAGAUUGCAUUUUUCUCCCAUGUGGCCAUUUUGCAACAUGUUUUGCUUGUGGUAAAAGAGUUGCCGAAGAAACUUGCAGUUGCCCCAUUUGCAGAAGAAAAUUGAAGAAACUAAGAAGAAUUUAUGUUGUGUAAUUUAGACUAGUGUACAAUGGAUGUAAAUAGGCCUUUAUGGAGUUUCAAAAGAAAAUGAUUAGAUUAAUUAAGAUAUGCAUUAUUUUUUCAUAACAUUAUUUAUCUAAUUUUAUAAAUAUACUUCCAUUUUUUCAUAGAACAA